AGAGGUUUUGCUAACUUAGAGUACUAUCAACCAAACCCGAUUAGAACCCUAUAUUGCAUUUGGAAAAUAAAAAUAAUGGAGAUGGCGCUUACCAAUUUGCUUAUGAAACUGGAAACAAGAUUGCUCAGCAGGAAUCUGGAGAUGGUCAAAAAGCCGAAGGUUCUUACGCAUAUGUAGCUUCAGAUGGUCAACAACUCUCUAUGUCCUAUGUGCUGCUAAUGCUACUGGCUUCCACCCACAUGGUUCCCAUAUGCCAGUGGCUCCACCAAUACCAGAACUCAUCAAACGUGUUGUGGAACAAAACCUGGCUGUCGAAGCUAGAGGAAUUAUUGAUGAUGGUCAAUAUCGCGAAACGCAAGCUCAUUUGCCUGCACCUGUUUUACCGGUACAAUACAUGGUUUAGCGUUAUGUGAUAUAUUUUGAUGACUUUGUGGCCCUUAAUGUUGUAGAUAUAAUAUGAGUGUAUAAAGGAUUAUAUUUCUAUUAUAUAGAUAUUUAUAUGUACUCUGAUAUAACAAUUUCAACUAAAUAAAAUAUUUUAAAAAC